rnacentral:misc_RNA from 1 species
UUAAGUUCAGCGGGUAUUCCUACCUGAUCCGAGGUCAACAUUCCAGAAGUUGGGUGUUUAACGGCUGUGGACGCGCCGCGCUCCCGGUGCGAGUGUGCAAACUACUGCGCAGGAGAGGCUGCGGCGAGACCGCCACUGUAUUUCGGAGACGGCCACCGCCAAGAGGCAGGGCCGAUCCCCAACGCCGACCCCCCGGAGGG